AAAACAUGGAUGAUAUGGUUCGGCUGAUAGCGCUAAUUCCGUAUUACAUUGACUUAGUUGGACGCUACAAGCUCAGCUCCCAGGCAAAGAACAAAACUGACGGUGCUAGGCAGAAGGCCGCUCAAGAAACAUACAAAGAACUUCAGAAUGUGAGGCAUGAGGCAUUGAUGAGAAAGAAAGCCGAAAAGAAGAAAAUAUUGGAGGAGGCAGAGGCAAAGCUUAGCGCCGAGGCACUAAGGAAG